AUGGAGCUAACACCCCACCCAGAAGACAGCCUUACCCCGACCAACCCGAUGAGAAGGAUGGAUGACCAAGUGAAAAACUGGAGAGUGGUGCUGUGUUCCAACUAUGGAAGCUGAGCGUGGACAGAGCUGCACAGAGGACCAAGGAUCCACUCUCAGCACUUCAUACCUGACUGGCCACAGCACCACCCCUCCUCACCUGGGUGAGGAGGGCCCUGACCCCACCUCCACAGAGGGAGUUGUGAACAUGCACUUCUGUGUCGGUGGGUUUAGGAGCCUCCUCACACACACACGGAUGAAGACUGUCACUGGAAGAUGUCUCCAUUGCAUCAGCAGGACCUAACCAUUUGUAAAAUAUUGCAGUUUGUGAUGUUUUAUACAUGUUUUUAUUGCUUCAUUUCAAACUAGGAGAUAUAAAAUAAACCAAUUUUCAUAAUAUUUUCUGUAUAUUUAGUUGUUUUCUUAAUGUUAUUUGGAACAUCAUUGCAACCUGUCAGCUUUUUAUUGAGGAUUUAGAAAGUUGCCGGUGGCCCGAGUGUGUACAGUGGGGUGUUGUUUUUUGUCACAUGGUGAAAGUGACCUGAUGGGGAGCAAAAAGAACAACUGAACAAUUUGGGGAUUCACAGACUUUGGUAAUCGUUAAAAAAAAAUGAAGAAAAAUUGUUCUGUGUGAACUAAAAGCUCAAAUAUAAACCAUCCUGACACACUGACACAAAUGAUCUGCUAUCUGUAAGCAGGACAGUGUUUUCAUGAGCCUGGGUGAAGCUAAUUUGCAUGAGUUUAACCUCCUGGUCAAAAACUUGCAUGACUCUGUUAGCACUGUAACUUUCUCCUGUUUAUUUAUUAAUUUGCUAAUUGUAGUAGAUUAAUACGUUCACCAACUGAUUCUUACUCGGCCUGAAUGUUUGAAUGUUUGCAGUUUCAGGUCCUACUGAUCAGUUUUAAGUACUGUAGAAAGUGAGCAGCAAUUUAAUCAAGUCCUGGGAUGAAAUGGGACAAAAGGGUAAUGUGACAGCCACAUUAGUUCCCUUCCCUCGUUUAACAAAGUGUAAGCAGACUGCUUUAACCUGCAAUUUACUGCAUGUUAUUAGGCUGCAUGGUGCAACCACAGUCUGCUAACCACCCGUGGUGAUCGAAGGUUUUGAGGUCUUGCUCGAGCUACUGAUGAAGUUUUAUCAAAGCUUGUUAAGUUUCCCAACCACAUUUCAUCCUGAUGGUCCAAGGCUUACAUCUUUAUGCUCACAAACGUACUUCUGUAAUUAAUCAGUGACCGAUUUAUUACUUUAAGUUACAGUGUGAGGGGCAUUAAUGAACAUAAAUCCGAUUUAACUGGAUUAUGUGUUUAGGUCAAGAGACACAGACCUUCAUCUUUCAGAGGCUCUUCUUGAAUGUCUAAUCACGAUGUUUGUGUUUGUCUGCAGCAUCACUGCAGCAGAGAGGGUGUAACACAAGGCCACAGUCAUGUGGUAUUCUUAUUCUUAUAUAUGAAAAGGGUUCACAACUGAAAGUAAAAAGUAAUACAGUUAAUGCACAUUCAUCUUAGUUGACAUAAGCAUAAAGACAAUGUAAAUAAGAUAUGAAAAUAGUUUAAAAGUUAUUAUUUUUCAUGUUGCAUCAAUGGUUGUCAUUUUAUUGAGGAGAACUGCGAUCUGUACAAUACUAAUCUGUAAAAUCUCUGUAAAAUCAACAAAUCCAUUCUUUUCACAUUUUUAUUGGUUCACUCUUUCACAUACUAAAGCCAUGCAAGUACACUGGGCGGUUGCUUUUAACAGAAUCAUUUGAUGAUUCUGAUGAAAUGAAGUAUUGUUUCAAUGAGCUGUGAGCUGUGGCACCAAUAAAACUGUCCACAUCUGUAAGCUAUGUGACACCAACAAAAAUGAACACAUGAAAAUCUAAAAACUAACUAAUAAAGGAAAUAACUUCUCCA